rnacentral:lncRNA from 1 species
GGGGGGCUCAUCCUCUCCCCUUCCUUUCGCACUUCCCUCCAUGUGACUCUCCACGAUAUUACGUUCUGAGUGUGCUUUCUCCUAAGAUUGGCUUCUUGUCCUUGGCUUGGCUUUAUUGAAGUUUGAGGCUAUGCUUGUGGCCACAGUGGGUUUGGGUUACGGGCUGCACGCUCGUGAUAGCCGUCUUACCUCUGGUGACAUGGCCUCAUUCAAAAUCCUGGAGACAGGGCGGUGGCUCAGCCUCCAGUGUGGGGUUUUUGAUGGGCACUAUGGUGUUGUGGUGUAAUAGCAACUAGAACCUGAGCAAUAGUAAUUAUAUGGUGCUCCAGGCCCUCUCCCAAACCCCAGCUGGGCUGAUAGAAAUGGGGUGCAGAGUCUGAGCUGUGGGCGGAGGCAGAGCCCCGAGAGUCUGUGAGACGGGCUCAGGGCUGCAGUGUCCCGCAGGGAGCCUGAGCAUGGCCUCUCCCAUCGGGCCAUCAGCUCUGUCCUGAGGCUCCGAGCAGGGCUGUGCCCAGGUCUGGAAUCCAACCCCGCUGUGACGACCUCCUGUGUACAUACAUUUUCCCCAAAGUGUGUGGGUCGCCUCGGGGCCGUCUGUCCUCCCGGGACCGGCGGGUGCCCCCGACUCAGGAAGGCCAGGAGCAAAGCAGGAGCCACUCGGGGUCCGCCUUGCACCUGACCAUCCCUGGUGCCAUGGUGAGCAGUGCCGGUCCUUCUGGUUCCGGAAGGCCUGGAGCAGGUGACAGGGGCCCAGCAACCUUCCUCCCCGGCCCACAUGCCCCCGGCUGAGCGUCUGCUGCUUGCAGAGCCCCUGCAGAGGGCAUUGGUGGCCGUGGACCAGGCCCUCACUUCCUGAGACAUAACUCCAGGCCAUGAAGCAUGGCUUAGUUCACCCAACUUGAGGCCCUUGGCAGUGACCCUGAGGGACCUGGGGUGCUCUGAUGGUGAUCACAGGGCAGCGCCAACCUCGGCCCUGGGGUGCUCUGGUGGUGAUCAUGGGGGAGCACCCACCUGGGCCCUGGGGUUCACUGAUGGUGAUCACAUGGCAGGACCCACCUGGGCCCUGGGGUGAUCUGAUGGUGAUCACAGGGAAUUGCCCACCUGGGCCAAGGAGUGCAAUGGUGUUUAUCAUGGGGCAGUGUCCAUCUGGGCCCUGGGAUGCUCUGGUGUUGCUCAUGGGGCGGCGCCCACCUGGGCCCUAAAUUCACAAGUGGUGAUCCCAGGACAGUGCCCCCCUGGGCCCUGAGUUCACUGGUGGUGAUCACACAGCCAUGGCCAUAAUCAGGCCUGGGAGUCUGGCUGGGAUUGUGGUGUUUCUGUGGGGUAGAUGCUGCUCUGUGUCUGUCCCAGUUCCUGACCGCUAGGGCAUCAGCAUGGUGCCAGCAUAACUGGCUGGGUGCCCAUGGGGGCAGGGGCUGGAGACUGGCCCCUUGCUGGGACCCCUCCCCUGCCAGCCCAUGGGCCCAGAGAGUCCUAGUCCUGGGGGCUGCUUCUCUGCAACCUCUGCCUUGGUGGCCGUCAGUGUCCCCACCCUAGAGGCCUUGGUGAUGCCAGGUCAUCUUAGGGCUUUCUCCAAGAUCUGCUGCAUGUCUUCCUGAGUCAGUUGUGUUAACUUUUACAGCCAGAAAAAGCAUGCUCACUGGUGACAUCAAGGAUGUACAAACACAUUCUAUAUCUGCCAGGUCCUCCCAGCAUACACCUGGCUGCAGGUCUCGCCUGAGCCAGGGCCCAGAUUCUGGCCUGCUCUUCACGGGUGCAGCAAGACCCCUUUCAAGACCGCAUGACUGUCUUGCCAGGUCAAGUCAAAGGCUAUGUACGGUGUCUUCGAGGGGCAGGCAGCCCUGAGGACUCUUAACUGCCUGCACGGUACUAGCUGUCCCGGUCCGCAGCUGGGAGGGAAAAAGAAAGGAGGAAGCCUCACCCAUCAGGUGGCCGGUACUAAGACUCGUGGCGAGGGGAAGACAAAGGAGAGGUUAUCGGCAGGGAUGCGCUUGG